rnacentral:rRNA from 1 species
UACGUAGGGACCGAGCGUUGUCCGGAAUCAUUGGGCGUAAAGAGCGCGUAGGCGGCCCGAUAAGUCCGCUGUAAAAGUCCAGGGCUCAACCCUGGAAAGCGGGUGGAUACUGCCGGGCUAGAAUCCGGAAGAGGCGAGUGGAAUUCCUGGUGUAGCGGUGGAAUGCGCAGAUAUCGGGAGGAACACCAAUGGCGAAGGCAGCUCGCUGGGACGGUACUGACGCUGAGACGCGAAAGCGUGGGGAGCAAACAGGG